AUGGCGACGGGAGGCGAGGCCGACGAGCCGGCGGCGCCGGAGGGGGAGGGGGAGGGGGAGAGGGACUGGGCGGAUCUGACGCCGGUGUGCCUGGCGGAGGCGUUCUCGCGGCUGGGCCCGGAGGACCUGUGGCGCGGCGCCAUGCCGUGCUGCCGCGCCUGGCGGGCGGCCGCGCGCUCCCGGCCGGCGCUCUUCGCCGCGCUCGACCUCGAACCGGCCUUCGAGGCCGUCGGCGCCGACGCCGCCGAGUGGUGGACGCCCGCCUUCCAGCGCCGCGUCGACGCCAUGCUCCGCUCCGCCGCCUCGCUCGCCGCCGGGGAGCUCCGCGUGGUCCGGGUCCGGCACUGCUCCGGCGACGCCCUCGCAUCCGCCGCCAAGAGGAUUCCUCUGUGGAGCGAAGCUCGAUUAAAAAUCCAAACGAGAUUAAUUCCAUGUGGGAGGAUGUUGAGGGUAACCACCCUUGCAACAUGGAAAGGAAACUACUCCCCACAGCUCAGCAUCCUUUCCAUCCAAAGCAGCCCGAGCGUAACUGACCGAUCAAUGCUCACUGUUGCAUCCUGCUGUCCUAUCCUCACAGAAUUGGACAUCAGCUACUGCUACGAGGUUUCAUACAAGUCACUCGAAGUGAUUGGGCAGAGCUGCCCUAACCUCGUGGUCCUUAAGAGGAGCAUAUUCAACUGGCUUGAUUCAUCAGAGCAUGUUCGAACAGUCCCAGCAGAGUAUCUAAGAGCAUGCCCCCAGGACGGCGACAGGGAAGCAAUAGCGAUCUCGAGGUCCAUGCCGAAGCUGAAACAACUCGUGCUCAAGUUCGCGAAGCUAUCUGGCGUCGGCCUCAACUCGAUCGCAGAAGGAUGCAAGGAGCUGGAGGUUCUGGACCUGUUUGGCUGCGCGAAUUUGACGAGCAGGGGGAUAGAACAGGCUGCUGCUAACCUGAAGAACCUGGAGACGCUUGUGAAGCCCAACUUUUACAUACCAAGGUCGGCUUUCCACAUGGAGAGGUACGGGCACUGGCAGUUAUACGAUGAGAGGUUCCAGACAAAUGUAUUUCAGAUAUGA
rnacentral:rRNA from 1 species